UUAAGUUUCUCAAAUUACCAUUAAUUUUAUUAGAAGCUAAUGUUUAAUUCAUAGCUAUGACUAUUAAAAUCCAAAAAUAUCUUGAUUUAAGAUAUAUCACUGCAUGCUUACUAAUCAGUGCCUCUGUUUAAAUCAUUUGGUACUUGAAACACAUACACAGGAGUUUCAUAGCUAGGCCAGCCCCUCAAACGUGAUGUAACUGAGCUACGUUUAUUAUGUUAGCUGAGCUCUAGGCCUAGAAAGAAGUGAGAAGACUCCAUUUCCUAGGGUUAAGGCUCAUCCUUCCCCAAGCCAGAUUCUUCUUAUAAACCUUUUCAGUUGCAGCCUUCCAGUGUACCCAUGGCACCCUUCUCCCAGGCCUCCAGGCCACCCUCUUCCCAGCGAGGUGGCGCUUCAGGGGCUUCCAAUGUAGUCUGUGCCCCAGCGCUCCCAUCCCUUCCUCACCCUUGCCCUCCUGUCUCAUUCCGCUGGUGUGCACUGGAUCGCAUCUAGAUGUGAAGAGGAAAACAAACGGUGGAACUAAUUCACCUUAAUCUUCUGCCAGCCACUGAGCUCGCCCUGGGGAUACAGAGGGCAGGUGGGCUCGCCCGGAGAGACAAGGAGCCACACCUCACCGCUGUGACAGAUGCUGUGCUGAGUGGCACGCGGGAGGAGUCACGCACUGCUGAGUGGACUUGCUGUACUGCUGGCCCCUGUGCAGAGUGUGUGAGGAGAGAUGCCGUUAGAGGCUUUCUCUUGAUGUAUUUGACCUUCAUGUUGAAGCAUGAAUAGUUUGUAAAAACAGAAAAUCUCAUCAUAUAAAAAUUUUACAUUAAAUCUAA